AGUGAACGCUGGCGGUAGGCCUAACACAUGCGAGUCGAACGGCAGCACAGUAAGAGCUUGCUCUUACGGGUGGCGAGUGGCGGACGGGUGAGGAAUACAUCGGAAUCUACUUUUUCGUGGGGGAUAACGUAGGGAAACUUACGCUAAUACCGCAUACGACCUACGGGUGAAAGCAGGGGAUCUUCGGACCUUGCGCGAUUGAAUGAGCCGAUGUCGGAUUAGCUAGUUGGCGGGGUAAAGGCCCACCAAGGCGACGAUCCGUAGCUGGUCUGAGAGGAUGAUCAGCAACACUGGAACUGAGAAACGGUCAAGACUCCUACGGGAGGCAGCAGUGGGGAAUAUUGGACAAUGGGCGCAAGCCUGAUCCAGCCAUACCGGGUGGGGGAAGAAGGCCUUCGGGUUGUAAAGCCCUUUUGUUGGGAAAGAAAAGCAGCAGGUUAAUACCCCGCUGUUCUGACGGUACCCAAAGAAUAAGCACCGGCUAACUUCGUG
rnacentral:rRNA from 1 species